rnacentral:rRNA from 1 species
UACGGAGGGUGCGAGCGUUGUCCGGAAUCACUGGGCGUAAAGGGCGCGUAGGCGGCCUGAUAAGUAGGGGGUGAAAUCCUGCGGCUUAACCGCAGGGCUGCCUUCUAAACUGUCGGGCUAGAGCACGGUAGAGGCAGAUGGAAUUCCCGGUGUAGCGGUGGAAUGCGUAGAGAUCGGGAAGAACAUCAGUGGCGAAGGCGGUUAGCUGGGCAGUUGCUGACACUGGGGCGCGACAGCGUGGGGAGCAAACAGG